GGGAAGCUCGGAACAUGCAGCAACAGGUGACUGUUCUUUCUUGCUUUGUUCUCUUUCCCACAAUGCCAUCUUGCAUUAUAUGGCUGAUUUGGAUGGAUUAUUGCUUCUCAGCGACAGUGCAAAGUGGACAAAUGAUUGUGUCAACUUAAUGCGGUCAGUGUUGAAUGCAGUCAGUGUCUCUGUGAAGCCUUCGAGAAUACUCAACAAUUGCUCAGCCUGAAUGAAGAAACUCAGUCACAGACAACACAGUUUUGUCUAUAUAGGAGUGCUUCUAUUUCUCAGGACAAACACGGCUGGAUUUUGGGAGACUUGAAUGCAGAAGGACACCCAGGAGUAAGAAGAGGACGAUAAUGAUGGGGUUCGGGUCAUUCAUGAUGGUGCUGCUGUGGAAAUGGUAUGGAAAGUUCAUCUUGUGGGAUUAAUGCACUUGUCAGCUGCCUGAAAAGCCAGCAGAAGCAUGAUUGUGUAUGGAAGCUGAUCUGGUACUUAAAGAGAAGAGGGCCCUGGCUCCUGCUGCCACUGAGACUCAGUCAGCUUUUCUGACAAUUGACCUGAACUGUCAGAUGCUAUGCUUGUCUCUGCUUGUUCUUUGG